UAAAGAUUUUAAGGGCGUACGGUGGAUGCCUUGGCGAUAUCAGCCGAAGAAGGACGCGGUAAGCUGCGAUAAGCUACGGAGAGGUGCAAGCAACCUUUGACCCGUAGAUUUCCGAAUGGGGGAACCCGGCAGUGGUUAUGCACUGUCACCCAUAGCUUAGACUAUGAGGAGGGCACCUGGGGAACUGAAACAUCUAAUUACCCAGAGGAAAAGUAAUCAAACGAGAUUUUCUUAGUAGCGGCGAGCGAACGGGAAAGAGGCCAAACCGGAGCGGGCAACCGCACCGGGGUUGAGGACAGUCAUCAAGUGUAAAUGAGGUAGAAGAAUCGAGUUGGAAAGCUCAGCCGAAGAAGGUGAAAGCCCUGUAAUCGAAACCUUGCAUACAUGGGACUGUAUCCAGAGUACCACGAGACACGUGAAACCUUGUGGGAAGCAGGGGGGACCACCCUCCAAGCCAAAAUACUGAUAUCGACCGAUAGCGCAUAGUACCGUGAGGGAAAGGUGAAAAGAACCCCUGGCGGGGAGUGAAAGAGAACCUGAAACCGUAUGUCUACAAACAGUCGAAGUCUGUAUAUAUAUCAGGACGACGGCGUGCCUAUUGAAGAAUGAACCGACGAGUUACUGUUGCUAGCGAGGUUAAGUGGAAAACAUGGAGCCGCAGCGAAAGCGAGUCUGAACAGGGCGUUCAGUUAGUAAUAGUAGACCCGAAACCGUAGUGAUCUAUCCAUGGCCAGGUUGAAGCACAGGUAAAAUUGUGUGGAGGACCGAACUCGUGAGCGUUGAAAAGCUUUGGGAUGAGUUGUGGAUAGGGGUGAAAUGCCAAUCGAACACGGAGAUAGCUGGUUCUCCCCGAAAUAGCUUUAGGGCUAGCCUCGAGGUUGAGAGUAUAGGCGGUAGAGCACUGAUCGGGCUAGGGGCCAUACCGGUUACCGAACCUAGUCAAACUACGAAUGGCUAUACUUAUACUCGGGAGUCAGACAGUGAAUGAUAAGGUCCAUUGUCAAGAGGGAAACAGCCCAGAACACCGACUAAGGUCCCAAAUGUUACACUAAGUGGCGAAGGAUGUGGAAUUUCCAAAACAACCAGGAUGUUGGCUUAGAAGCAGCCACCAUUUAAAGAGUGCGUAAUAGCUCACUGGUCGAGAGACUCUGCGCCGAAGAUGUCCGGGGCUAAAGUGUAAAACCGAAGUCGUGUCAUAUGCAGCAAUGUAUAUGGGUAGGGGAGCGUUCUCAUCGGGCUGAAGCAGUACCGUAAGGAGUUGUGGACUGAUGAGAAGUGAGAAUGUCGGUAUGAGUAGCGAAAAGAAUGGUGAGAAUCCAUUCCACCGAAAGCCUAAGGGUUCCUGAGCAACGAUCGUCGUCUCAGGGUAAGUCGGGACCUAAGCCGAGGCGGAAAAGCGUAGGCGAUGGACAACAGGUUGAAAUUCCUGUACCGGUGUGAAUCGUUUAAUCGAUGGAGUGACACAGUAAGGUAGGUCAGCACGCGAUUGGAAGUGCGUGUUUAAGCAUGUAGGUUGAGUUAUAGGUAAAUCCGUAGCUCUAAAAGCUGAGAUGUGAUGACGAGUUACUAGCGAUAGUAACGAAGUGAUUGAUCCUACACUGUCGAGAAAAGCUUCUAGGUAGAGACACAUCGCCCGUACCAAAACCGACACAGGUAGGCGGGGAGAGAAUCCUAAGGUGCGCGGGAAAACCCUCGUUAAGGAACUCGGCAAAAUGCCUCCGUAACUUCGGGAAAAGGAGGACUCAUGUAGUGUGAAGUGCAGCAACGCAUGGAGCAUGAAUGAGUGGCACAAGAGAGGCGCAAGCGACUGUUUACCACAAACACAGGUGCCUGCUAAAGCGAAAGCUGAUGUAUAGGUGCUGACACCUGCCCGGUGCUGGAAGGUUAAGAGGAGGGGUUAGACUUCGGGUCGAAGCUCUGAAUUGAAGCCCCAGUAAACGGCGGCCGUAACUAUAACGGUCCUAAGGUAGCGAAAUUCCUUGUCGGGUAAGUUCCGACCCGCACGAAAGGUGUAACGACUUGCGCACUGUCUCAACGAGGGACCCGGUGAAAUUGAA
rnacentral:rRNA from 1 species